GGAGGGAUGGCUGAGCGGUCGAAAGCGAUAGAUUGCUAAUCUAUUGUACAAAUUUUGUUGUACCGAGGGUUCAAAUCCCUUUCCCUCCU
rnacentral:tRNA from 1 species